rnacentral:rRNA from 1 species
UACGUAGGGGGCAAGCGUUGUCCGGAUUUAUUGGGCGUAAAGAGCGUGUAGGCGGCCAUACAGGUCCGUUGUGAAAACUCGAGGCUCAACCUCGAGACGUCGAUGGAAACCGUAUGGCUAGAGUCCGGAAGAGGAGAGUGGAAUUCCUGGUGUAGCGGUGAAAUGCGCAGAUAUCAGGAAGAACACCCGUGGCGAAGGCGGCUCUCUGGGACGGUACUGACGCUGAGACGCGAAAGCCAGGGGAGCAAACGGG